AGCGGCGGACGGGUGAGUAACGCGUGGGUAACCUGCCUCAUACACAUGGAUAACAUACCGAAAGGUAUGCUAAUACAAGAUGAUAUAAGAGAUUUGCAUGGAUUUCUUAUCAAAGCUCCGGCGGUAUGAGAUGGACCCGCGUCUGAUUAGCUAGUUGGUAAGGUAACGGCUUACCAAGGCGACGAUCAGUAGCCGACCUGAGAGGGUGAUCGGCCACAUUGGAACUGAGACACGGUCCAAACUCCUACGGGAGGCAGCAGUGGGGAAUAUUGCACAAUGGGCGAAAGCCUGAUGCAGCAACGCCGCGUGAGCGAUGAAGGCCUUCGGGUCGUAAAGCUCUGUCCUCAAGGAAGAUAAUGACGGUACUUGAGGAGGAAGCCCCGGCUAACUACGUGCCAGCAGCCGCGGUAAUACGUAGGGGGCUAGCGUUAUCCGGAUUUACUGGGCGUAAAGGGUGCGUAGGUGGUUUCUUAAGUCAGGAGUGAAAGGCUACGGCUCAACCGUAGUAAGCUCUUGAAACUGGGAAACUUGAGUGCAGGAGAGGAAAGUGGAAUUCCUAGUGUAGCGGUGAAAUGCGUAGAUAUUAGGAGGAACACCAGUAGCGAAGGCGGCUUUCUGGACUGUAACUGACACUGAGGCACGAAAGCGUGGGGAGCAAACAGGAUUAGAUACCCUGGUAGUCCACGCCGUAAACGAUGAGUACUAGUGU
rnacentral:rRNA from 1 species